rnacentral:rRNA from 1 species
UUAAGCGACUAAGCGUACACGGUGGAUGCCCUGGCAGUCAGAGGCGAUGAAGGACGUGCUAAUCUGCGAAAAGCGUCGGUAAGGUGAUAUGAACCGUUAUAACCGGCGAUGUCCGAAUGGGGAAACCCAGUGCAAUUCGUUGCACUAUCGUUAACUGAAUACAUAGGUUAACGAGGCGAACCGGGGGAACUGAAACAUCUAAGUACCCCGAGGAAAAGAAAUCAACCGAGAUUCCCCCAGUAGCGGCGAGCGAACGGGGAGCAGCCCAGAGUCUGAAUCAGCUUGUGUGUUAGUGGAACGGUCUGGAAAGUCCGACGGUACAGGGUGAUAGUCCCGUACACCAAAAUGCACAGGCUGUGAACUCGAAGAGUAGGGCGGGACACGUGGUAUCCUGUCUGAAUAUGGGGGGACCAUCCUCCAAGGCUAAAUACUCCUGACUGACCGAUAGUGAACCAGUACCGUGAGGGAAAGGCGAAAAGAACCCCGGCGAGGGGAGUGAAAAAGAACCUGAAACCGUGUACGUACAAGCAGUGGGAGCACCUUCGGGUGUGACUGCGUACCUUUUGUAUAAUGGGUCAGCGACUUAUAUUCUGUAGCAAGGUUAACCGUAUAGGGGAGCCGCAGGGAAACCGAGUCUUAACUGGGCGUUAAGUUGCAGGGUAUAGACCCGAAACCCGGUGAUCUAGCCAUGGGCAGGUUGAAGGUUGGGUAACACUAACUGGAGGACCGAACCGACUAAUGUUGAAAAAUUAGCGGAUGACUUGUGGCUGGGGGUGAAAGGCCAAUCAAACCGGGAGAUAGCUGGUUCUCCCCGAAAGCUAUUUAGGUAGCGCCUCGUGAAUUCAUCUUCGGGGGUAGAGCACUGUUUCGGCUAGGGGGUCAUCCCGACUUACCAACCCGAUGCAAACUACGAAUACCGAAGAAUGUUAUCACGGGAGACACACGGCGGGUGCUAACGUCCGUCGUGAAGAGGGAAACAACCCAGACCGCCAGCUAAGGUCCCAAAGUCAUGGUUAAGUGGGAAACGAUGUGGGAAGGCACAGACAGCCAGGAUGUUGGCUUAGAAGCAGCCAUCAUUUAAAGAAAGCGUAAUAGCUCACUGGUCGAGUCGGCCUGCGCGGAAGAUGUAACGGGGCUAAACCAUGCACCGAAGCUGCGGCAGCGACACUAUGUGUUGUUGGGUAGGGGAGCGUUCUGUAAGCCUGCGAAGGUGACCUGUGAGGGUUGCUGGAGGUAUCAGAAGUGCGAAUGCUGACAUAAGUAACGAUAAAGCGGGUGAAAAGCCCGCUCGCCGGAAGACCAAGGGUUCCUGUCCAACGUUAAUCGGGGCAGGGUGAGUCGACCCCUAAGGCGAGGCCGAAAGGCGUAGUCGAUGGGAAACAGGUUAAUAUUCCUGUACUUGGUGUUACUGCGAAGGGGGGACGGAGAAGGCUAUGUUAGCCGGGCGACGGUUGUCCCGGUUUAAGCAUGUAGGCUGAUUGUCCAGGCAAAUCCGGAUAAUCAAGGCUGAGGUGUGAUGACGAGGCACUACGGUGCUGAAGUAACAAAUGCCCUGCUUCCAGGAAAAGCCUCUAAGCAUCAGGUAACAUUAAAUCGUACCCCAAACCGACACAGGUGGUCAGGUAGAGAAUACCAAGGCGCUUGAGAGAACUCGGGUGAAGGAACUAGGCAAAAUGGUGCCGUAACUUCGGGAGAAGGCACGCUGGUGUGUAGGUGAAGCCCCUGCGGGUGGAGCUGAGACCAGUCGAAGAUACCAGCUGGCUGCAACUGUUUAUUAAAAACACAGCACUGUGCAAACACGAAAGUGGACGUAUACGGUGUGACGCCUGCCCGGUGCCGGAAGGUUAAUUGAUGGGGUUAUCCGUAAGGAGAAGCUCUUGAUCGAAGCCCCGGUAAACGGCGGCCGUAACUAUAACGGUCCUAAGGUAGCGAAAUUCCUUGUCGGGUAAGUUCCGACCUGCACGAAUGGCGUAAUGAUGGCCAGGCUGUCUCCACCCGAGACUCAGUGAAAUUGAACUCGCUGUGAAGAUGCAGUGUACCCGCGGCAAGACGGAAAGACCCCGUGAACCUUUACUAUAGCUUGACACUGAACAUUGAGCCUUGAUGUGUAGGAUAGGUGGGAGGCUUUGAAGCGUGGACGCCAGUCUGCGUGGAGCCAACCUUGAAAUACCACCCUUUAAUGUUUGAUGUUCUAACGUUGGCCCCUGACCGGGGUUGCGGACAGUGUCUGGUGGGUAGUUUGACUGGGGCGGUCUCCUCCCAAAGCGUAACGGAGGAGCACGAAGGUUAGCUAAUCCUGGUCGGACAUCAGGAGGUUAGUGCAAUGGCAUAAGCUAGCUUGACUGCGAGCGUGACGGCGCGAGCAGGUGCGAAAGCAGGUCAUAGUGAUCCGGUGGUUCUGAAUGGAAGGGCCAUCGCUCAACGGAUAAAAGGUACUCCGGGGAUAACAGGCUGAUACCGCCCAAGAGUUCAUAUCGACGGCGGUGUUUGGCACCUCGAUGUCGGCUCAUCACAUCCUGGGGCUGAAGUAGGUCCCAAGGGUAUGGCUGUUCGCCAUUUAAAGUGGUACGCGAGCUGGGUUUAGAACGUCGUGAGACAGUUCGGUCCCUAUCUGCCGUGGGCGCUGGAGAAUUGAGGGGGGCUGCUCCUAGUACGAGAGGACCGGAGUGGACGCAUCACUGGUGUUCGGGUUGUCAUGCCAAUGGCACUGCCCGGUAGCUAAAUGCGGAAGAGAUAAGUGCUGAAAGCAUCUAAGCACGAAACUUGCCCCGAGAUGAGUUCUCCCUGAGACUUUAAGUCUCCUGAAGGAACGUUGAAGACGACGACGUUGAUAGGCCGGGUGUGUAAGCGCAGCGAUGCGUUGAGCUAACCGGUACUAAUGAACCGUGAGGCUUAACCUU